AAGAAAGUAAAUAAGGGCGCAUGGCGGAUGCCUUGGCUCAUGGAGGCGAUGAAGGACGUGAUAAGCUGCGAUAAGCCGCGGUUAGGAGCAAAUAUCCCUUGACCCGCGGAUUUCCGAAUGGGACAACCCGUCAGCA
rnacentral:rRNA from 1 species